GCACACUUCUGGGGUUAAGCUGUGGUGCCAUAGCACAUUGCUAGUGUGUAACUGGGGCCGCCUGCCCUUCACCGAGGGCCCUUUAAACCACUAGCUACAGGC